rnacentral:rRNA from 1 species
AUUGAACGCUGGCGGCAGGCCUAACACAUGCAAGUCGAACGAGUGGCGGACGGGUGAGUAAUGUCUGAGAAUCUGCAUGGUAGUGGGGGAUAACGUCCGGAAACGGGCGCUAAUAACGCAUCAUCUCAGCUGAGCCUAGGUCGGAUUAGCUAGUUGGUGGGGUAAAGGCCUACCAAGGAGACGAUCCGUAACUGGUCUGAGAGGAUGAUCAGUAACACGGGAAGUGAGCAACGGUCCAGACUCCAUCGGGAGGCAGCAGGGGGGAAUAUUGGACAAGGGGCGAAGGCCUGAUCCAGCCAUGCGGGGUGGUUGAAGAAGGCCUUCGGUUUGUAAGGUACUUUCAGCGGGGAGGCGUUACCCGCAGAAGAAGCACCGGCUAACUCCGUGCCAGCAGCCGCGGUAAUAC